UACGAAGGGUGCAAGCGUUACUCGGAAUUACUGGGCGUAAAGCGUGCGUAGGCGGUUUGUUAAGUCUGCUGUGAAAGCCCCGGGCUCAACCUGUGAACGGCAGUGGAUACUGGUAAGCUAGAGUGUGUCAGAGGAUGGUGGAAUUCCCGGUGUAGCGGUGAAAUGCGUAGAGAUCGGGAGGAACAUCACUGGCGAAGGCGGCCAUCUGGGACCACACUGACGCUGAGGCACGAAAGCGUGGGGAGCAAACAGG
rnacentral:rRNA from 1 species